AAGAUAAUAAUGAACAGUUUAGAUUUUGUUGAGAUGAGAGAAGCUGAAGAGCAGAUUAAUUUUCUUGAGAAGGUAGUGCCGGAUUGGAUCUACAAGAAGUUGGGCCCUAGUGGAGAUAUUAUGUACUGUAUUAAGGAAGUGCCAGAUUUGGAGUCUGUUCGAUCAAGGCUAUCUAGCAAUAGCAUUAAGGCUUGAAUCAUACUCAAGAUGGUUCAACAACCUGGGAUUAGUGUGCCUUCGUCGUUGCUUGGCCUUGUUGAUGUGAUAUAUUCUGUAUUUUAUGUCAAAUGCCCUCCAAUCACAAAAGAAGAGUUCCUGAACAAGUAAGGAACGGUUUAAAUUCUGCUGAGAUUAUUAUGAUUUUGGAUAGAUGACUCAUCCCCAUG